GUGUUUGUUGCAUUCCCUCUCUCCACGCAUCAUCGACACACAAACAUACCCGAGAACAUUCAUAGGCUUUAACGAAACCUGCAUAUAGAGAGCAGAACAAAAACAGUGGUCUGCAGCUCUGUUCCACGUGCUUCUUUUACAAAAGAUUUUAGAAGAAAGCGCACAAAUCGAAGCAAGUAGAAUUAGAGAAGUUCUUGUUAAUAUGAAGAACCAGAAUACAUUUUAGCGUGUGUUAAAAAAGUAUCAGACUUGAGUGCUUUUAAUUCAUACAAGAUAAGAAAUUCACGAGGGUUUCGUAAACAAGUGAAGGAAAAGAAAGGAGACUAUAUUUCAUGAUGAGGACGGUGUGCUGCUACUGAGCAAAGUACUGAAAGUUAUAUGAGUAGAAAAAAAGGUGGUCUAAUUAUUAUAAUUGAAAUUAGGAAUUUCCCAGAUAGAACUGACGCCGUACUAUUCCACGAUGGAUUCCACUGACAUUCUAGAGAGCACCUCUUGGUCUCGGCAUCAAAGCACGUUCUUUUACAGCGUGUUUGUCUUCUGGAACUUCUGUGGUCUUGUAACAGCACUUAGUGUUAUUGCCGGUACUUGGUUAACUCAAACUAUCUGGCGAAACCGUAAAGCGGCCCGGAGGAAGACAUCUAACCUUCACGCUGAAGGUAUCGAACAAGAUGGUUGGAACGGGUUAAAUUCAGAGGAGGAAGCAACAUUGCAAGACUCGCAAAGAACCUUCUACGUACCAUUCGUAAACAAAAGUAGCGAGGCUCGACUUAAAAUUCUUUGAUUUCGAAUAGGCAUCCGACACAUGUACGUGACACGUAUAGUAUAUUAUGUUUUGCCAAUACGACGAAAGAAAUGAUGUAAACAUAUGUAUCUGUAUGCUUUGUACAAACAUGAAUAUUGUAAAACUCAGUGUGUAAAACUAGGUCUAAAAAUCGGUCACUGUAUUGUUUUCUUUGAGCAAAUUCAAACGAAUCUCUUCUGGAAGGCGGUAAAUCUCUAUGUCAAUACUUAAAUGCGUGAGCUUCUUGAAUCAAAUUUCUAAUGGGGAAAAAUUUGAAGACUGUCCUCCUGGCGCGAUCACCCUUUAAUCGGGUUACUACCCAUAGCGAAUGCGUAGAGUUAGCUGUUUCCACCAGAUAUAAAUUCUAACUGUAUACCGUGUUCCGUUUCAACGAACUCAUCCUGUUGCAAACACUACUGUUCUCCAAUCAGUGCUGCAUAAAAUGCGUAAAAUUUCUAGUAGCAUAUACUGUGUAAUAGUUGUAAGUUGCUGAAAUGGGUAAGUAAGUGAAGAAAACGAUAUCUCUGUACCAAGGACUUUGGGUCAAUAAAGUACUACGAAGACUUUGAUUUCGCCUAUCGUCAAUGCAAGUAACUGUUAGAAAUAGAAUGAAAUAUUAGAUACUAUAUGGAGUACCUCAUAUAUUGAUUGGUUAUAAUAUAUAUUUGUGGGUACGUGUAUAUGUUGGUGUGUGUGUUGCACGUUAGAGUUCACGGCAUUAGAUUGAGGAGUCGUACAGCAGACCAGUCGAAAUAAAUAAGUCAGCUAUCCUUUAUUAGAGAAAGGGUUGCUUUAUCCGUCUCGUUGUUUGUCUAGACAUUUCUCUUGCCACUACGCCAUCAUAUAUAUCUAGAUAAAUUUAUUCUAUUAUUAUGAAAAAAAUUAUUUAUCCCUGAGCUAAACAUGUAACAUUAUGUAGAGAUUCCCAUACAUUACUAGCGAAACUAAUGUAUAUAGCCAUAACAAAUGCAAUUAAUUUAUGUAGUUCAAUUAUGACACAAUAUAUUAUAGACGACUGGAGGGCAUUUUCCACUUGACACUCUGGUUGUAUAGAGAAUGCCCGACAGUUGUCGGUUGCAUCUUGUCCGUAGCCAUCCGGUUUGGGCGGCUGCAUUAAAUGAAAAGAGUAGGACGGGGGGGGAAGCUCAGAACAGCGCGAAGGUAUUUUCAUUAAUUAUCGAACAAGUUACGGUGCUACUUCUGUGGACUUCGUACUGGUAACUUGUCGCCUGAGCAAAUGCCUAACAGUUCAAGAACCUGAAGUGAAACACGAAAAAAACACAUAGUUUAACGGGCUUUUGACUACCGUGAGCAGAAUAGUUUAUGGAGAACGUCAGUCGAUGUUCUCCAUAUAUGGCGUAUACGACGGUCGCACGCUGAGACACUUUGGCAGCGCGAUCGGAUGCACAACGAGUAUUAGGAAUAUAACAACCUGUACGUGAACGUGGUACAGAUCGGCAUAUAUAUUAGCGGUGGUUUUGUGAUUACAAUGAAUACAUAUCUGAUACAAUGUAUAAUACAUAAAGGAAGGUCACCAUUUAGCCAAACCACCCUGUAUACCUGCUUUGAGUGUAGAGACGAAUGUUUUGCCUAAAAUUAUAGCUCUCGAGCAAACAAUAAUAACCUGUUACAGUUUUAUGUUAACCUUAAGCCUUGGUUGGUGGAAGGUUUGCAAUGUUUUUCAUUUUUGUUUACUUUUCGUGUGUUAUAUCACAGAUAUUAUUACUAUGACUGAAUAAUAAAGAUGAGCAGGAUUUGAGUCGCGGGUUUCCACCAGCGAAGCACUACAACGGCAAACGUCUCUAAAGUCGAGACUGUAAAGAGAUACAUACCGUACAUUUUUUCUGAUUGCAUCGUGCUCGUGCAAGUUUUUUUUGCACGUAUCCAGUUCUCUGUACGUAAAUACACGUUGUUUUAAAUGCAAUUUUCUUAAAAUUUUAAAACGACUUUUUUUAAGAGUGAAAGUAGCCAAACCGGCAGAAUUCGUUCGGCACUAUAAGGUUCCUACGAUGAAUUUCGAAUCAGUACGCAGCCAUUUAUCCGAGGGCGUCUAUUAUCUCAAAGGGUAGGAAGUGUAGAUAAUAUAUUUUUUCAAGAUGGGAAUCAACUGAGGCAUCUGACGAUUUCAGGCAUUUCAGACUGAUUUGUAUCAUUAACGUCUUGGCACUUUCACAAUUAUACAUCAGUUUUUAUUCUCUUUGAUCAGCAUCAAAUCCUUAUCAUCAAACGUCUGAAAAGACACCCAUAUAUCAACGCUUCAACAUUUUUCCCGUGAACAGUCAAAGUGAGACUGAUGAAAACUUAUACAAAAAUCGAAGAAAAACAAACAUUGCAAUGACUAAAAAUGUUCAAAUAUUAUUAACUUGAUAUUCUCAUAUCGUUUGCUAUAAAUAAAAUUUAUAUAGAUUCAUUAACAUUGUGAUGGUUAAUUUGUAGAUUAUUAUGGUAUAAUAUUUUCGCCCAUUGUGUUUGUUCUUAAUACAUUUCAAUAUAAUUUUUUAUGUAAUACAUUUUACCGUCGAACUGAUAGCUAAGCUAUACUAAAGAGUAGUAAUUUAUCGUAAUAAAAGAGUGGUAACUUUACGUUCAUAGAAAAUUAAUAAUUUUCAUUUCAUUAUUAAAAAGAAAAUGCAAACACGAUGAUUUCUCAGUUAGUUUCAUUUUAUAGAGUAUUCAUUAUAUGAUAAUAAUAGUACGAUUAUAAUCAACGUUUUCUCUAUUAAUGGAUAUUGUAUUUACCGGCAAAUAUACCGUCAAUGUAGACUGAAGAAUGUUCUCAAUUCUUCUGAUGAUUGCACUGUAGGAUGUAGAUUGACUAUUCAUGCUAUUAUUAUUGCGAAAUCUAUUAAUAUUAACCAUCUAUAAGAUAAUGUCACAUCCAAGUUUGUUCAAGCUUCACCUAACUUCACUCUCUCUAGAGCUCCCUUCUUCAAUUUUAUUAUUGUUUUAUGGGUCUAUAUAGAAACUAGUUUAUGAAACAAAGAACUUGACAUAUACUUUGAUACAUUUCUUUUAAUAAUUCAAUUUAUUUUUGUUGUUGAAUAAUAAAUAAUUUGAAAUAUUUGAAAUAAUACCGUAUAAGCCAAACAUUUUGUAACGCACUGAGGUAGUAAAGAGGCUUGAUUAUGCAUUCAGCCAUAUAAUCUGGAUAUAUGUUGCGAUGUUUUCUGCUUUUGAAUUGUUUUCAACUUUGUUUCGUGUGCAAAGUUUUAUCUCGCUUAUGUUUUGUAAGCAAGAAAAGUCUUUGAUCAGUUCUAUAUCUCUAACCGUGCCGGUUAACCCAGUAGCGUUUAAGACUACGCGUUUGUUUUUUCCCAAUAUAUACUAUUAACUGAUUUACUCUUAGUCUUGAACUAUUGGCAGUCGCUUUUUUGUGUUUCCUUUUUCGCUUUCCUUUUUCGCGCAAAAUUAACUCGUUUUAGUGUCCAAUUGUGAGGCUGACCACACAAUCAGACCUUCUGAUUAGAAACAUCAGCUACGUCUACACUUAUUUACCCUCGCCUGUCUCUUUAUGUUGACAGUAAGCUUACGGAGGAAUACGCCACACAUUGAAUUCGAUCAUCGUUUUAAGUAGAGACCGUUUGCAACAUCUAGGACCAUUGGUCAUUUAUAGUAAAUACGAAAUGAAAAUUUCUAUCACGGGAAAAGUAGUAUUCAAACACUUAGUGUACGCGAAAAAUCACUUCAAAUUGCGGUUAGACAAAACGAUCUAAGGAUUAGACCACGAUGAAAUUGUGGACCUAUUUAGGAACUAGGGGAUGUAAUUUCAAUAGUCACGCGUAUACUUCGAUCUCUCAAUGUUUACAGACCAUCAAUGCCAAAGGUUUGUUUGAAAAGAGAACUGUUCCGGAUUGUUAUAAAUUUGUUUCCCAUUCGACGAAUUUGUCAGUUCUUAACGAAAGCUUUAUCCUGUAAAAUUUUAAGCAACAGCGUAAUACACUUAAUGGCUUAUAUUUAAAACUGCGACAAAAGCGCGAAGAACUCAGACGGCUUUUCAAUAAACUCGCUUUAUUUACGUGACUAAAUCAAGUGAACAGAGAAUCCUAUGGUGAGAGCUACGUGUUAACAACGAAUAGUCUAAACCCAUUAUUGCGGCUUCGAUUUUCUAGGUUAGGAUUAUUAUUUUUUUACCAUAAUAAUUUCUUAAUACUGUGUUUCAUGAUACAACCAUCAAUCACAUUGGUUAUACGUCCUGAGAACAUGGCGGCUUACUGCAUUGGCACAUAUAAUAACACGACUCGUGAACAUUCACAAGCCAAAGGCGUUUUUCCAGUCAAUGAUCAAAGGUAUUACGGUUGGAAAUAGUCACAGCACCGAUAAACAUUUGUAAUUUUACAUUAUUAGUGAACAGAUGUGUGUGUAGAUAUAUAUACAUGUUCUCGAAUAUAUUGUUAUAGAAGAGUGUCGAUUUGUUGUCGCAUUAUGAAUUCGUAUAUUCAUCGAAGCAUACUACGUGCUCGCUGCUUAGAAACUAAAGCGACCUCUUGCGGCGUCAGUUUAUAAUACUGCCAAGCCUUAGCGGGUUACGCGGUAAAAACAACAGGGAUAAGACAAUGACAGAGGUACUAGAAGAAACUGUGAAAUGAACAAAAUAACAGUUUCAAUUAUCAAGACUUAUGUAUUGUGUAAUAUAUAUGAUUUUAUGCGCAAACUAAUCAUAAAUGGGCUGCACCAAAAUGGCGGUAAAAGUAGGCAAUGCCGCAAGGGAUAAUAAACCAAACACGUGCUAUCUCAGAUUCACGGAAAUUCUCGACAGUACGCGUUUUCCGUGUAGAUAAUUAUUAAAAAAAAGUAAAGUACAGGGAGCACGAUGAAUCUACAGCACAUCACAUAUAGCACUUUCCUUGCCAACCCCUCUUCAAAUGCCACCAGUAGUGCUGCCGAUUACAACAAUGCCGACCCAUCGUUAAGAACGUUUGCCCCAGAAAAACUGUGUUUCACAUAAAAAAAAAACUGCCAGCAUCACCCCGCGCCAUGUGUGUAAAGCGUUUUCAGAUUCUAAAAUGGAGAGAGAAGCGGGAAGGUUCAAUCACAUAAGAGCAUCCUUGUAGAUCGACCGACAAAUUCGUCCUGGCAAUUGUAGCCGCUAGCGGUCAGCCGUCCUUAGAAAUGUGCAGGGUGGGUGACCUCAAAUCGUUAAUGACCACGCUAAACCUGCACUGCCACUGGUUGACAACAACAGCUGUGUUUACAUAUAUUGCCGUUUCAAGUCUACUGGACGCUGCCCCAGAGAUAGUUGACGUGAAAACUAACAUUUUCCAACGAAGAAGAUGAUGUGACGAGCUCAGUUGGCUACUUCAAGCAGUGGGAUACUGCAACUGAGAACGACAAAACCGUUGCGCUGGCCUGGUUACUACAAGGGGCCUCGUAACAGUUGAUCUCGACCCUGCCGUUAUCUGACGAUAGCUACACAUUAGCUUUAAAGCUGUUUUAUGGCAGGUAUAUGGUAUCGGAUGCCGAGAAAAAGGCCAUAAUAGCAAGCGCCAUAACUGUGCCUACGGUAAAGUAGCAAACUGGUAUUGUUACUAUGCAUGAGUGUGACUAGGCGGACGACACUUUCAAUGGAAACGGCCAAUUCCCCUUCGAGGAUCUCUCAAUGACCUCAAAAUUAAAGUAAGGUGGACUUUGUCGACUGGCGUAAUUUUAAACCUUGAAGACCGAGACCGUCAUUCAGCUCUAGGGUGGAGAGCCGACGUCCGGCAGAACUUGCAACGCGUUGCCUAACGCCACUGUGGCAUCUGUGGUAUGUGUGUCCACCGGGACAGAUCCCUCCUAAAGACAGCGUCAACAAUAGUCGCUAAGUGUUAACAUAAAUAGCAUUAAUCGCAAACCAACAGCGCCAAUGAAAAAGAAGGUCGUCCGCGUCGUUCUCGAUAUAGAUUCACUGCGAAUCUAUAAAAGCACCUGAGUCCGAAACAAGGUUCACUGCACAGCUCGCGUACUGACAACGUCGUGAUGUAGGUGGAAAAUACGCGGUGUACUUCAAAAUGUGGCAUUUUCUUCCGAUCCGCCGUGAAGGUCCGAGGGUUGCGUGUAGUGUUUAUGAAACGAGAAACUACUAUAAUGGUCGAUACCAACUGCUGGAUCGUCGUCGCUUGUAUUGUAUAGGCGGUUCCUGGUUCAAUGGUUACGUUUGCGACUUCCGGAUUAAUCAAAAGGCUGCCCGACAUUUGCCAGCAUUCAUGACGGGCCAGCGCUAAUCAAUUUGUUUGCCUAAGCACGUCAUUUCGAAGCGGACCCACAUAUUGCGAUAUAAAUGCGAAACGUCAUACGCAAUCUGGCUCAUGACAAUCAAUCUACAAUCGACGAAGCUUCAAUAGCGGAGAUGUUCUUAUUAACUGAGUGCGCCAAUUUUUCAAGUCCCCUUUUGUGAGCGUGGAAAAAAGGUCGCCAGUGGUCUUAAAAAUUUCGCUUCUGUUGAUUUGACAGCGACAGCUUCAGAGUGUAUGCCGAGCGUUGCGAUAACAAUCGAGUUCUGCCUGUUGUUGGCGAAGGACGUCUGGGGUCGCUUGAAGCGUUCGAAAUCAAUGCUCUGUAGACAAGCUAUAACAGUUCAACUGUUUAAUCACUUAUAAGGCCAGCUUAUAUUAGGUAGCAACACCAAAACGCGGUUCGACCGCAACGUUCGACAAUUGAAUAAUCUCAAGGUCGCUUGUAAUCGUUUGAUGGCAAAGCGACGAAUUCCGCUAAAGACUUAGCAAAAAACUUCGAGUUCAAAAGAAAUCACCGACGUUGACUUUACAGCAUGAAGCGCGCAAGACAACACGUAUUUCAUGCAAUCGUGAAAAUUAGCAAAAUUGGAAAAAAUUGGAGGAUAGCUUUCGGCUGCUUUGUUAUGGUCUCCAACAAAAGGUAGGUUUCCUGGGUUAAACCUAAACCCGAGUAUCAUCGUGCUCUUGUUUAUUUUCCUCCGGAACCGCAUCACUUUGUCAGCUGAUGUUGCCAUGAUGACACGAAAGUUAAUUGAACUAACUGCCCGUUCCUCUGGCAACCAGAAGAUAUAGCUUUACGCGUUUUCGGGAUUCAGUUAGUUACUUGGGAUGUUACUUCAAAUGGCUUCCUUCUAGCAGCGGUCUGCCAUGAGCACCUGAAGCGUGUUGAUCUUAAUUCUGUCUACCGGCUCGAUGAGUCGACGUAUUUCGAUGAUUUGUUCACCAAGUGUUGGACCAAUCAAGUUGUUACGUUCGUCGAUCGUACUAUGCGAUCCUAGAUUCUGCCGACGUGGAACUGUCUAUGGUGGAGGUAAAAGUCGCUUUUCGUCUUCGGACUAUCCAAGUCAGCGCAGUUGCCAUCGUCAACUAUUUAGCUGGUAUUUAAGGCGUUUAGUAUCGUCUGGGCCUUAAGUUGUGAUCGCUUUCGUUGUCAAACUCGCUAAACCAAUUGCCGACUUGCAACGCGUCACCAAGAAAGACAGACAUAUUCCGAAUUGAUGCUUCAGUGUACAAUCAUAUCAAACGCUUGAUUCCAUUCACGUCGCGCGGCAAGCUUCUGAUUCAGCAAAUAUGGCAUAAUAGGACGAGCCAGGCGAUGGUCAGUUGCACGGUAUAUUUCAAUCACAGGUUAGCGAAAUAACCACCCUGUCAUGACUGUACACUGUCCGUCUGGACGGCGCACCGGGCAAAAUGCUCAUCGCCCACCUAUUGCACGUUUUUGGGAAUAUAAACGAACAAGCCUUCACGGUAGCAGCUGCUUUUUAUGGUGAAGUCAAGAAUUAUCGUCGAUGAAAAAAUUAACUAUUACUGGUGCACUGCCGAGGGACGUUAGUGCUGCACAACGUUCGUUUGUAACCAUAUUAGCAACUCGCCAUAUGAUACUUUGCUGGUAACGUAAGCAUCGCCGACGGCUUGAGCGUGGUACGUCAGGGAUUAAUCUCUUUAAAAAUAAGUGCUGGUGGCUGGGCACUGCUUGCCUUACUGAACCUGAGGAGAAGCGACCGGUGUUAAGGUCACAGUGGAGUAGCAAUACGAAUGAGUCAGUAAUCAGUGAAUUUCUCGUAAUAAACGCGACCCCGCACGUGGCCUUUCCCGCGUCGAUAAUUGAAAAAAGGCAAUUCGGAUUGUGGCAAGUGUGAUAAUAUUUGCACAUGGCUGUCGUUGCCAAUCGCCAGUUUCUAAGACUGCGCUUUGGACCAGAGCUAACUUACUGUGCUGUCUCGAAGCCAUUCAGCAAAGUUACUUCGCAGUCGGGAGACGCCCAGACGUAGUUGUCCAAACUUAACGCGCAUCAUCGGUUCCAUGACAGGACUGGUAUAUUUUGUGCAUGUACGCAACUUAGCUUUGAUAAGUAAAAUGCAAUUAUAGUUUGGGACAGUUUACACUCGGCGACAUUACUUGUACUGCAUCAUUAGCCUCUGAACGCACAUCUCGGCGUGAACAUUGUGUUGAAAGCGUUCCGACGGCGCUAUUGGGUUUUCCAUAGCCGGCGAAUCGUAAACGCUCUGCUCGGAGGCUGUGUUUUCGGUCGUCGGAUCCACAAUAAGCGAGGUGAUCAAGUGCAGACAUGUCUGUUCACGUAAGCUAGCGCUAACGUUGUUCAUUUGAAACCUGUGACAGAUAUGACCGAGCCGAAGACGCAUCGUGCGAUCCGGCACUUUAUCGUUGCGCUUCCGACGAAUCGCCAGUUCAUCUGCGACACCAGACAACCAUUUCUGCGAAUGACGGCAAGCAUCAGGCCAAUACCGAAAUCUUCUUGCGAUCUUGUGAUCCCGGUUGUUCGCUUGCUGACGCGCACCUUGGAGAAACGGAUUUACCGAGAACCUCGUCGUCACAAUAAAAACGCUCUCGAGCAGACGCUAGUGCCGAAACUUUACCAGCCCUGAGGAACUCCGCAAACGUUUGCAGACAUACUGGCAAUCGUCAAUGAUCGACCCAUUUUUCACGUCAACAGCGAAAUUGGUGAAGUACUUAGUUUAGCCAUGUUUCCCCGUGGUAGGCGGCCAGCUGGUCCGCUGUGCGCCUCCUCCGUCCUCGGCAGGUUCGCGUCCAACGACUGCAUCAUGUUGGGGUCCCCGAGAGCCGAGCCGUUGCAGUUUCUGCGUACUUUCCGUUAAAUGGCAUUGUAAAUAUCUAAUGCAGUUGUUGCCAACAAAUAUCGACCGGGCGACCAAGGCUCUUUCCCGGAGGAACAGCGGGGUAUGCUUGCCCCAUGAAAACAAUGCUUCUUACAUUCAUUUGAAGCUGGUAUGAGCCAUUAAUGGCCAUUUAGUAAGAAACGCAGUUAUACUAAAAUACACUGCAAGAUUCGCAAGUAGAACCGAAAGUCGCCGCUCGAAUUCGCUGCAAAAGCCGCCGGAAGAUAAAAAAACACACACAGUCUAGAAAUGUUUAUUCACUUUUAACGAUCGAGUGCGAAAAUCGAAAACUUUAACGGUACACGAUGCAGGGGCGGCGCGUCAAUUUCACUGCUGUUUCUCGAACGUAUUAUUACGAGAAGGUGUGCAAGUUAUAUGUAGAGUAUUGAUGCGUAGUCAUAAAAUAGAAUGUGGUAGGCAUCAAAUUUAAUUAUGCACAAACUUAAAAACUAAGAUCUAGUCGCUUGUAGCAUUCAUUUGUGGUACUACCAAGCCCUUGGCGGAGCAACAGCAACAAAAAAAGAGUAACUAUUUUCAUUACAAAAAAACAACAAUUGCAGUUGUCACGUGACGAGGAUUUAUAUAAUUGUGUAUUUUAACCAUUUGGGCGCUAAAUAAACAACUGAGCUGGGCCGAAGCGGUGGUAAAAACGCGCCAUCUCGGGAUGACGGAAAUUCUCAAUAGCAUAUCACGUGUUUUUUGUGCAGGUAAAUAUAAGUGGGAGGAAAGUAUAGCGACCACAGUGAGCUUCCAUGUUUUUCGUUCGUGAAUUGCUCUUCAGAUACCACAAGUUGUCACGAUGAAUUUAGUUAUUUACUAAUCCUGUGCCGUAUUAUGUUGUUGAUUCAUUCACGCCAUGUUUCUACGAACAUGCGACAAAUAGUUACAAUAAUUAUAGGAUAAUAAGAAUAUAAAUGUUCGAGAAUUGAACAAUGUACGUACACAUGUUUCGAUAAUAGUAGAUAAUAAUAAUAAUAAUAAUAUUCAACGGAGCACAAGUCAUUAUCAUUAUAGUUGUCGACUGGUGAAUCGAUGACAGAUACAGCCAGCUAGAUAGAAAGUAUAAUGGAAAACUUCGGACAGCAAUGACGUCCUCCUAGCAGUUCGUGUAACUAGUUCACUCGUCAUGGUAGUAGAUUCCGUCGGAGAUCUUUCCGCUUUCAGACAACCCCAUAUCAUCCGUUCUGGGUUGCUGAAACAGUAAAAUUUGACAAUAUUUAUCUGGAACGCCCCACAAAUGCGGUGACAGUGCUGUGUUGGUCUGGAGUCAACUAGUGUGUUUAACCUGCGACAUUUCUUGUUAUUAAGUUGGUUCGACGUAGUUAGUUCGAGUCGGUAAGUUCCAAUCAAUGCUUCAGGUUUGCGAAAAGGGAGGUUUUCGCUAUGUGUCAGCCAUCAAAAAAUUACAAAAGCGGGUUUGCUUCUCCCUACAACCGAAAUUGCCCCCUACUGCUGCUCACAAUAAGGGCUUAUCGAACAUCUGACGAAACUGUUGAAACUGCAACAAAUUCCAAGAAAUACUGAAACGAAACUGCUAUUUAUAUAGUUUACAGAUACCAUUAUGACGUUGAACAGCUUUUUCAGUUUACUUCUCGCUUUAUCUAGGCUAACCGUGUUACUUCGCAUUUGCACCACACCCUCCGUCGUACCCAUCUGACUAAUAGCUAACAUUACGAUCGUAAAAUUUGUGGUGCCAAGUCGCUGAAGAUUAUCUCAAACGGACUCAUUUUGAGUGAGUUGAAGCUGCAUGUUAAAUAGAUUGCUUUGUACGUCGUACAAAGCUCCGUAUUUCGGGAUGGAUCUGACUAGUUCCUGAUUCGCAUCCAUCACUAUGGGAGCCACAUUCAUACAAAAAUUUUGCAAACCGACUGCUAAAUUUUUGAGGGGAACGCCGUAAUUUUUCUCAUUAUCAUUAUUAUUAUUAACGGUGGACGUUAUCACGAUGCGAUGGGUAAGAAUUUGAGUUAAAUCAACUGAACAGGUCUAGGAGUUUGGUUUGCCUUUAGAACUGCGUGAUUUUCAGGGUGCAAAGCGUCAUAGUUUCUUUGCAUUUAAAUAUGCAUGCACUUGUCUAUUCAUAUAUUUUGGUUUUCAAUCAUUUUUUUUCUAUGUAUGUUUUUCUUUAGUCAUGUUUCGGUGUAUAUAGAACGGUAGUAUCCUUUAACUCGAAGCGGUAGUGAUGAUCAUUAUCGAUGACGGUUGUAUUAAUAGUAUUUUUCACUAGUGGCAAAUAUUGUUGUUGUUAUUAAAAGGAAUUAGUUGUUGGAAUAAUUAUAGGUUUGCUAUUAGGUUAUUUAGUUACUAUUUGAUUGUAGGUUAACUAAGGACACAAUGCAGGACGUCGUCAAAUCAUCCUACUACAAGACAAUCUACUUCAUUUUCAAUUAACUUCAAUGAUGAUUGCCGCUAUUAUCAGCCGUUACUACUGCUAUGUGGAGGACAUCAACUCACACCUAGCACCCUCCAAGGACCGCCAAGAA